UGACCUCAGAUCAGGCAAGGCUACCCGCUGAAUUUAAGCAUAUUAAUAAGCGGAGGAAAAGAAACUAACAAGGAUUCCCCUAGUAAUGGCGAAUGAAGCGGGAAAAGCUCAAAUUUAAAAUCUCCGUUGCUUGCAACGGCGAAUUGUAGUUUCCAGAAGCACUUUCUCGGCGGAUCCGAGGUCGUCCAAGUUGCUUGGAACAGCACGUCGUAGAGGGUGACAACCCCGUCUGCGGCGACCUCGGCCGUUCACGAUGUGCUUUCGACGAGUCGGGUUGUUUGGGAAUGCAGCCCAAAAUGGGUGGUAAACUCCAUCUAAAGCUAAAUAUUGGCACGAGACCGAUAGCGAACAAGUACCGUGAGGGAAAGAUGAAAAGCACUUUGAAAAGAGAGUUAAAAAGUACGUGAAACCGUUAAAAGGGAAACGAAUGGGGUUAGCAAUGCGUCGUGCGAGAUUCAGCCGGUGGGUGGGCCAGGCGGGCGGUUGGCGGAUCUGAAUGGACCGCUGCCGUUCGGGUUGGUUUCCCGACGUCGCACUUCUCGCAGG
rnacentral:ncRNA from 1 species